AAAUUUUAUUUUGGCCAGGAGCUGAAGUUGGUUGUUUAGUAGUAGUAGUUUGAGUAGUGACCGAAGUAGUAGUCUGGUGCAAGAGUAGUUGGGGAAGAAUUAGGUGUGGUAAUUGGGGCAGCUGUGGUCUCUUGUGGAGCUGGGGAAGACGGUGGAGCUGGUGUAGUUGCAGAAGGUGUGGGUGGGGCAGCUGUGGUCUCUGGUGGAGCUGAGGCGGAUGAUGGGUCUAGGGUAGUUGCAGAAGGUGUGGGUGGGGCAGCUGUGGUCUCUGGUGGAGCUGAGGAAGAUGGUGGAGCUGGUGUAGUUGCAGGAGGUGUGGGUGGGGCAGCUGUGGUCUCUGGUGGAGCUGAGGAAGAUGGUGGAGCUUGUGUAGUUGCAGAAGGUGUGGGUGGGGCAGCUGUGGUGUCUUGUGGAGCUGGGGAAUUCACUGGUGCUAAUGUAGCUACAGAAGAGCUUG
rnacentral:lncRNA from 1 species